CGAAGCGUGCGAUUGGAUUGCACGUCUAAGCAGUAAGGCUGAGUAUUAGGCAAAUCCGGUACUCGUUAAGGCUGAGCUGUGAUGGGGAGAAGACAUUGUGUCUUCGAGUCGUUGAUUUCACACUGCCGAGAAAAGCCUCUAGAUAGAAAAUAGGUGCCCGUACCGCAAACCGACACAGGUAGUCAAGAUGAGAAUUCUAAGGUGAGCGAGCGAACUCUCGUUAAGGAACUCGGCAAAAUGACCCCGUAACUUCGGGAGAAGGGGUGCUCUUUAGGGUUAACGCCCAGAAGAGCCGCAGUGAAUAGGCCCAAGCGACUGUUUAUCAAAAACACAGGUCUCUGCUAAACCGUAAGGUGAUGUAUAGGGGCUGACGCCUGCCCGGUGCUGGAAGGUUAAGAGGAGUGGUUAGCUUCUGCGAAGCUACGAAUCGAAGCCCCAGUAAACGGCGGCCGUAACUAUAACGGUCCUAAGGUAGCGAAAUUCCUUGUCGGGUAAGUUCCGACCCGCACGAAAGGCGUAACGAUUUGGGCACUGUCUCAACGAGAGACUCGGUGAAAUCAUAGUACCUGUGAAGAUGCAGGUUACCCGCGACAGGACGGAAAGACCCCGUGGAGCUUUACUGUAGCCUGAUAUUGAAAUUCGGCACAGCUUGUACAGGAUAGGUAGGAGCCUUUGAAACGUGAGCGCUAGCUUACGUGGAGGCGCUGGUGGGAUACUACCCUAGCUGUGUUGGCUUUCUAACCCGCACCACUUAUCGUGGUGGGAGACAGUGUCAGGCGGGCAGUUUGACU
rnacentral:rRNA from 1 species